GUCUGCCCUUGCUGUCUCACAAGGACCGGAAGAGGAUGAAACACCAGUCAGUGCCGGGGGAGUUGCGACGGAAAAAAUUUUUUCCAUCUUGGUCAAGUCGCCAUCGGGAAAUCAUUCAGACUCAAUAUUGAGACUGAUACAGGGCGAAUUAUUUUUCUUUAUAUGAAUACACUGCCACUGUCUUCAGACACACCAGAAGAGGGCAUCAGAUCUCAUUACAGAUAUUGUGAGCUACCAAUUGGUUGCUGGGAACUGAACUCAGGACCUCUGGAAGAGAAGUCAGUGACCCUAACCUCUGAGCCAUCUCUCCAGACCAAUGAAGACUAUCCUUGACAUCUUCACUAGAAACCCCUUCAUAAACACAGAUGUGUGAUCUUCAAUCCAGUCAAGAUAAUAGUGAAGAUUCACCUCGGAAGUGAUUUAGCCGCCUACGCAGCCCUGACCUCCAAGGCGUUCUGGAGCGCCAGAAGACUCUGGAACCCGUGUGCAGCUGUUUAGUAGCUGUACUGCUUGGUCUUGUGCCUAUGGAGACCAGAUAAGAGCCCAAGAUCCUCUGGAACUGGAUUUGACCAUCAUGUUGGGGCUGGGAACUGAAUCUGAGUCCUCUACAAGACCAUAAGGGAUAUUAUUUUCUCUCCAGCAUACCCUUGACUGAAAAAUGAAGACAGGACAGCUCCUAGGUAUGGCUGAAGAGAGGGUUUAUUGUAGAUAGAAGGGAG
ensembl:lncRNA